UUGUAGGUUGGGCAAUGGUUAGAGGU
rnacentral:piRNA from 1 species